rnacentral:misc_RNA from 1 species
UGGCUCUCGCAUCGAUGAAGAACGCAGCGAAAUGCGAUAAGUAAUGUGAAUUGCAGAAUUCAGUGAAUCAUCGAAUCUUUGAACGCACCUUGCGCUCCUUGGUAUUCCGAGGAGCAUGCCUGUUUGAGUGUCAUGUAUAACCUCAGCCCUCUUGGAUUUUUCUGAGAUAUGGGACUGGAUUUGGAGGCUGCUGGAUUGAGAAAAUUGAACCAGCUCUUCUUAAAUUGAUUAGUGUGAAUGUUGCUAAAUGUUCUCCAGUGUAAUAAUUAUUUGCGCUGCUUGAGCUUUGGCAGAAUAUAUAUGUUCAUGCUUCUAACCGUCCGUCGAGGACAAUAUACUCUUUGCAUUUGACCUCAAAUCAGGUAGGACUACCCGCUGA